AAUGAGCCUGCGAGUUGUGGUGUCUGGCAAGGUUAAGCAAACGCGAAGCCGUAGCGAAAGCGAGUCUGAAUAGGGCGCUUAGUCAGAUGCUGCAGACCCGAAACGAAGUGAUCUAUCCAUGAGCAAGUUGAAGCUAGUGUAAGAACUAGUGGAGGACUGAACCCAUAGGCGUUGAAAAGCCCCGGGAUGACUUGUGGAUAGGGGUGAAAGGCCAAUCAAACUUCGUGAUAGCUGGUUCUCUCCGAAAUAUAUUUAGGUAUAGCGUUGUGUCGUAAUAUAAGGGGGUAGAGCACUGAAUGGGCUAGGGCAUACACCAAUGUACCAAACCCUAUCAAACUCCGAAUACCUUAUAUGUAAUCACAGCAGUCAGGCGGCGAGUGAUAAAAUCCGUCGUCAAGAGGGAAACAACCCAGACUACCAGCUAAGGUCCCUAAAUCUUACUUAAGUGGAAAACGAUGUGAAGUUACUUAAACAACCAGGAGGUUGGCUUAGAAGCAGCCAUCCUUUAAAGAAAGCGUAAUAGCUCACUGGUCUAGUGAUUUUGCGCGGAAAAUAUAACGGGGCUAAAGUAA
rnacentral:rRNA from 1 species